rnacentral:rRNA from 1 species
ACCUUCGGUUAUGUAUUUGGAUGAGUUUAAGUAUAAACCCCUUAACAAGUAUCAAUUUGGAGGGCAAGUCUGGUGCCAGCAGCCGCGGUAAUUCCAGCUCCAAUAGCGUAUAUUAAAGUUGUUGCAGUUAAAAAGCUCGUAGUUAAUCUUCUGUUAAUUUUUAUAUAUAAUAUUUCGAUAUUUAUAUAAUAUUAACAUAAUUCAUAUUACUUUUUAGUAUAUGAAACUUUACUUUGAGAAAAUUAGAGUGCUUAAAGCAGGCUAUUGCCUUGAAUACUCCAGCAUGGAAUAAUAUUAAGGAUUUUUAUUCUUCUUAUUGGUUCUAGAAUAAAAAUGAUGAUUAAUAGGAACAGUUGGGGGCAUUUGUAUUUAACAGUCAGAGGUGAAAUUCUUAGAUUUGUUAAAGACAAACUACUGCGAAAGCAUUUGCCAAGGAUGUUUUCAUUAAUCAAGAACGAAAGUUAGGGGAUCGAAGACGAUCAGAUACCGUCGUAGUCUUAACCAUAAACUAUGCCAACUAGAGAUUGGAGGUUGUUCCUUACUCC